ACUGGGGUGUCCCUUGUCCCCAGGAGCACCAGGGGUGUUCCUUGUCCCAAAAAGGCCACCAGAGUGUCCCAAGUCCUUGAGGGAGACCAGAGUGUCCCGUGUCCCAGUCUAUACCAAUGUCCCAUGUCCCUGAGGGACACCAGAGUGUCCCGUGUCCCUGAGGGACACCAGAUGUCCCAUGUCCCAGUUAAUACUGGUGCCUGUUGUCCCUGAGGGCCACCGGUGUGUCCGAAGUCUCAAAGGCCACCAGAGUGUCCCACACUCCCAAAGGCCACCAGAGUGUCCUACACCCCAAGGUCCCCACCAGAGUGUCCCACACCCCCAAGAGCCACCAGUGUCCCACACCCCGAGGUCCCCACUCCCAAAGGCCACCAGUGUCCCCUGUCUCAAAGGCCACCAGAGUGUCCCGUGUCCCAGUUAAUACUGGUGCCUGUUGUCCCUGAGGGCCACCGGUGUGUCCCCACUCCCAAAGGCCACUGGUGUCCCCUGUCCCAAAGGCCACCAGAGUGUCCCACUCCCAAGAGCCACCAGUGUCCCACACCCCGAGGUCCCACACUCCCAAAGGCCACCAGUGUCCCACACCCCGAUGUCCCCACCCCGGGAGCCCCUGGGGCCGGUGCCAGCC